ACGACGCUGGCGGCGUGCUUAACACAUGCAAGUCGAACGGACGCGGGGAGCUUGCUCCCCCAAGUAGUGGCGAACGGGUGAGUAACGCGUGAGCAACCUGACCUUCAGAGGGGAGUAACACCUGGAAACAGGUGCUAAUACCGCAUGAGACCACAGACCCGCAUGGGAAAGGGGUCAAAGGAGAGAUCCGCUGGAGGAGGGGCUCGCGUCCCAUUAGAUAGUUGGUGAGGUAACGGCCCACCAAGUCGACGAUGGGUAGCCGAGCUGAGAGGCUGAUCGGCCACACUGGAACUGAGACACGGUCCAGACUCCUACGGGAGGCAGCAGUGGGGAAUAUUGGGCAAUGGGCGAAAGCCUGACCCAGCAACGCCGCGUGAGGGAAGAAGGUCUUCGGAUUGUAAAUCUCUGUCGCAGGGGACGAAGGAAGUGACGGUACCCUGUGAGGAAGCCCCGGCUAACUACGUGCCAGCAGCGGC
rnacentral:rRNA from 1 species